rnacentral:rRNA from 1 species
AAGAGUAAAACCAAGUUAUUUUUUAGAAUAAAAACACUAAAGUUGAAGCUAAUCUCUUCUAGAAUUAAACUAGGAUUAGAUACCCUAUUAUACUAGAACCCAAUACUCAGCCUGAACACUACUAAAUAUAAUUUCAAAUUUAAAGAAUUUGGCGGUAGCUUAGUCCUGUCAGAGGAACCUGUUUUUUAAUCGACACACCCCGUAUAAUCUUACUUAAGCCUGUAUACCAUCAUUACCAGAUAAAUUCUAAAGAACUCUUAUUGAACCUUAUAGAUUAUAAAAAUUAGAUCAAGGUGCAGCUAAUAGGUAAGUUAAAAUGGGUUACAAUAAACUUGAUUUACAACGAAACAAAUUGAAGGAGGAUUUGAUUGUACAAAAAUUUAACAUGUUCUAGAGAUAUUAGCUCUAAGCUGUGUACAUAUCGCCCGUCGCUUUC